UACGAAGGGGGCUAGCGUUGUUCGGAAUCACUGGGCGUAAAGGGCGCGUAGGCGGCUUUUCAAGUCGGGGGGUGAAAGCCUGUGGCUCAACCACAGAAUUGCCUUCGAUACUGUUAGGCUUGAGACCGGAAGAGGUGAGUGGAACUGCGAGUGUAGAGGUGAAAUUCGUAGAUAUUCGCAAGAACACCAGUGGCGAAGGCGGCUCACUGGUCCGGUUCUGACGCUGAGGCGCGAAAAGCGUGGGGGAGCAAAACAG
rnacentral:rRNA from 1 species